UGCGUAGGUGGUAUGGCAAGUCAGAAGUGAAAACCCAGGGCUUAACUCUGGGACUGCUUUUUGAAACUGUCAGACUAGAGUGCAGGAGAGGUAAGCGGAAUUCCUAGUGUAGCGGUGAAAUGCGUAGAUAUUGGGAGGAACACCAGUGGCGAAGGCGCCUUUCUGGACUGUGUCUGACGCUGAGAUGCGAAAGCCAGGGUAGCGAACG
rnacentral:rRNA from 1 species